CACGUAGGUGGCAAGCGUUGUCCGGAUUUACUGGGCGUACAGCGUAUGCAGGCGGACAAGUAAGUAGGAAGUGAAAGGUUGGAGCUUAACUCUAACACGGCUCCCUAUACUGCUUAUCUUGAGGGCCGGAGAGGACAAGGGAACGGGUCGUGUAGCGGUGAAAUGCGUUGAGAUGACUCGGAACACCAAUGGCGAAAGCACUUGUCUGGACGGUGGCGAAAGCCUUAAAACCUGACGCUGAGAUACGAAAGCUAAGGGAGCGAACAGG
rnacentral:rRNA from 1 species